UAUAUAAGGGAGGUUUAGGCGACCGUUCGUUCCUUUGCGUUGGGGGCGCUCGUAGUGUGGUGGUUGUACGGCUUACAGCCAGGCUUCAUACGCUAUCGUCCUGCCCGUUAGAGCAGCCAGCGGGUAUAGAAUGGAUUUUGGAGGAGGGAGUCACCACUGGGCCUCCAAGGAAGCCACGUGCAGACAUCUACAACCUUCGAUCUCCUGACGAGUUUAUUGUUGGCCAAAACCAGGCUUUGACUGAACCAGGAUGAAUGCGGGUGUUGGGAAUAGAAUAUAUAUAUACAUAUAAAACCGGUUGGGAGCCACGUGCACCAGUGUGUUGAUCUUGGCUUGAUUCAGUCAGGUGAGGUUUCUGCUUUCUAGCUGUCAAACCCCACAGCAAAAUUUGUCCAACUGGGCCUAACUUCAGGACCCAUUUCCAAGUUGGGUGUAAAACUGGAAGAAUAAGUCAUUAGGACUGACUUUCUCAGCAAGGCAAAUUUACUUCUGCUGGAGGGUGUUGCUAGCAUUCCUGGCAAGAGCACACCGAACAAAACAAGAGAGACAUUUUUUAUCCCUAAUGCAAGUAGUCCCGGUUUCUGUGUUCUAUCCCCAUUGGCUGGAGUCUACAGCACAAUCUAAACUAGUCCUGAUUGGCUAUUUUAAACAGGAGGGGUGUAGGUUACAGCUGUGGGAAGGGCAGGAAACUUGUUUACAGAGCGGGUUGCUAGGAGUGAAGGGGACUUUUCCAAAUAAGGAACAGGAUACAGGUUGAGAUUGGCCAGAGAAGUUGUUCAUAGAACGGGUAACUAGGAGCAGACAGGUAUGAGGAAGUUGACCUUAAGAAUAAGGAAGAAACCCAUUGUAUCUAACAAUUUCCCCCUUUUGAUUUUUAUAAUUCUUUCUCUUGAGACUUUUUUAGCAUGUCUUUGUUCCUCUUGGUCCUCAAAUUAGAAACUUACCUGAAUAAGGCAAGGAAGGAUUGAGGAAGAUUUUGGUGAUAGCUGUUCAAAUAAGCUUUUGUAUUAAUCCUGAGAUACAGGGUAUGAUACAGCCUCCUGCAAGAAUGAGCUGAUGGCAAGAGAGGUGAUGAUUGAGGACCCAAAUCCUUUCCCUUUGCCAAACGAUUUUUCCAUUAAAUUCGUGAAGAGGUCGUUUAUUCCAGAAUUUUUAGCUAGCUUAUUGGAUAAAGUAGUAAGUUCUUGUGCCUUUGUUAUGGUUCCAUCAGGAGCAGUAUUAUUAGGGAUAAAAGUACAACGCUGGGUUCCAAUCAUGACACAAACUACACCUUUCUCUGCUAGUGUCAUGUCUAAUGCUAUUGUGUUUUCCCGGGCCAUUUGACUGGUGGGCCCUAAUUGUUCAGCUAUUCCCUUAAUAGCAUCCCUAGUAUAAUUAAUGAAAUGUUGCUGGCUUACCUUUUUUUUUUUUUUUUUUUUUUUCUUUUGAGUUGGAGUCUCAAUGUCGCCCAGGCUGGAGUGCAAUGGUGCAAUCUCGGUUCACUGCAACCUCUACCUCCCGGGUUCAAGCUACUCUCCGUCCUCAGCCUCCUGAGUAGCUGGGCUACAGGCAAACUGGCGAAGGAAUAUGAGAGGAGUCCUCUGGAAAGAAAAGAACAGACCCUGUGCUUUCAUGAAAGUGAAGAUCUGGCUGAACCAGUUCCACAAGGUUAUUGUAUACAUAGCCUGGGUUUAAAAGGCUGUGCCCACUUUGAAGAAUGUCAUUGUUAGACUUUGCUGAAAUUUCUAACUGCCUACCUGGAUAGAGAAAAUAAAAUCUUUUAAAU
rnacentral:lncRNA from 1 species